rnacentral:rRNA from 1 species
CGAACGCUGGCGGCGUGCUUAACACAUGCAAGUCGAACGCGAAAGGGACUUCGGUCCUGAGUAAAGUGGCGCACGGGUGAGUAACGCGUAGAUAACCUGUCUUCAUGUCUGGAAUAAUACGCCGAAAGGGGUACUAAUACCGGAUAUUCUUGCUUUUCAUAAGUUAUGCAAGCAAAGGUGGCCUCUGCAUAUGCUACUGCAUGAAGAGGGGUCUGCGUACCAUUAGCUAGUAGGUGGGGUAAUGGCCUACCUAGGCGACGAUGGUUAGCGGGUCUGAGAGGAUGAUCCGCCACACUGGCACUGGAACACGGGCCAGACUCCUGCGGGAGGCAGCAGUGAGGAAUAUUGCGCAAUGGGGGAAACCCUGACGCAGCGACGCCGCGUGAGUGAGGAAAGGCCUUCGGGUCGUAAAGCUCUGUCAAGAGGAAAGAAGUGUACAAUGGCUAAUACCUGUUGUAUUUGACGGUACCUCUAAAGGAAGCACCGGCUAACUCCGUGCCAGCAGCAGC